rnacentral:rRNA from 1 species
GACGAACGCUGGCGGCGUGCUUAACACAUGCAAGUCGAACGGUAAGGCCCUUCGGGGUACACGAGUGGCGAACGGGUGAGUAACACGUGGGUGAUCUGCCCUGCACUUCGGGAUAAGCCUGGGAAACUGGGUCUAAUACCGGAUAGGACCACUGCCUGCAUGGGUGGUGGUGGAAAGCUUUUGCGGUGUGGGAUGGGCCCGCGGCCUAUCAGCUUGUUGGUGGGGUGAUGGCCUACCAAGGCGACGACGGGUCGACGGCCUGAGAGGGUGACCGGCCGCACUGGGACUGAGAUACGGCCCAGACUCCUACGGGAGGCAGCAGUGGGGAAUAUUUCACAAUGGGCGCAAGCCUGAUGCAGCGACGCCGCGUGAGGGAUGACGGCCUUCGGGUUGUAAACCUCUUUCAGCACCGACGAAGCGCAAGUGACGGUAGGUGCAGAAGAAGGACCGGCCAACUACGUGCCAGCCGCCGCGGUAA